rnacentral:lncRNA from 12 species
UUUUUAUUGGAAAUAGUGACAAGAAGGCAGUGAUUAACUCUCAUUGCUGCCCCCAGGAUUUCAUGAUCGAUGGUAUGACUGCUUUUCCUGUCACUAUCAAAUGUUGCUUGGCCUUCCACUCAGCCAACUGGCAGUAUGAAGCAAGGAAGGGCAUGUCUAAGGUUACCUGGAUUUAUCAAUCUGGUUUUCCAGCAGGAAAAUGUUUGGGUUUCAUGAUCAGUGAGAGAUUAUUUCCCCCAUGGCCCCUGCCAUGUUCAGGUGGCUUCUAAAUGCCAAUAUGGGAUCCAGAGAAGGCACAGUGAGUCACAAAGGCAUGCCAUAAUAGGAUGUUGGCUAAUUGGUGAUGCUGAACUUCCACUUGGGAAAAAGAUUAGCUAUAGAAAAUAGAAUUACCUUUGGACCCCUCAGUUCUGCAAAUUUGUAUAAAAUCUCACGGGACUGGGGUGGUUUGUCUUCAUGAUAGCUAGGAAGGAAAGGUUUGCUAGCAAAACAAAUCGAUGAAACAAAAUUGCAGGUGGCAUGUUCAGACAUCUUAGGAAAUCAUUUUUCAAGCCUUUAGCAAAGACGCUAUGUAAAUCAACAAUCAGUUGGAAUAUUUACUUAUUAAAGCAGUUGGUUUUCAACUUUCUUUUUUUAGACAGGGAAAAUUUUUAAGUCUUAGAUGGAGCAGGAAAAAAAGGGGAGUUCUGUGAGGUGAAGACGGGCUGUGGGACCCUGCAAGCUCAGAUGUCCUCUUCCAUCCUAUCCCUCUUUCACAGCCAGGGUUGGCCCCUAAAACACCUCUGCAGAGACCUGGGAUGCCAGGGAGACCAAUUUAAAAGCCAGAAAUUCAAAAGUUCUAUCAAACCCAACCUGAAGAGAACUGGAGACCCAAGGCUUAGGAUCAAUGUGGAGAGGAAAAUCCAGGCUUCAAAGCUAUUCUCACUGGUAGAUAAAUGUGUAAAAGAAGAUGAAGAAGAAGGAGAAGAAGAAGAAGAAAGAAGAAGAAGAAGAAGAAGAAGAAGAAGAAGAAGAAGAAGAAGAACAGGAGGGGGAGCAGGAGGGGGAGCAGGAGAAGAAGAAGAAGAAACUAACAAAAACACUAUAUAUUGGAGGGAUCCCUGGGUGGUGCAGUGGUUUGGCGCCUGCCUUUGGCCCAGGGCACGAUCCUGGAGACCCAGGAUCAAAUCCCACGUCGGGCUCCCAGUGCAUGGAGCCUGCUUCUCCCUCUGCCUGUGUCUCUGCCUCUCUCUCUCUCUCUCUCUGUGACUAUCAUAAAUAAAUAAAAUUUAAAAAAAACA